GAUGAACGCUAGCGGCAGGCUUAAUACAUGCAAGUCGUGGGGCAGCAUGAGUGUAGCAAUACAUUUGAUGGCGACCGGCAAACGGGUGCGGAACACGUACACAACCUUCCUUCAAGUGGGGAAUAGCCCAGGGAAACUUGGAUUAAUACCCCGUAACAUUAUGGAGUGGCAUCACUUUAUAAUUAUAGCUCCGGCGCUUGAUGAUGGGUGUGCGCCUGAUAGGUAGUUGGCGGGGUAACGGCCCACCAAGCCUUCGAUCAGUAACUGGUGUGAGAGCACGACCAGUCACACGGGCACUGAGACACGGGCCCGACUCCUACGGGAGGCAGCAGUAAGGAAUAUUGGUCAAUGGACGCAAGUCUGAACCAGCCAUGCCGCGUGGAGGAUGAA
rnacentral:rRNA from 1 species